rnacentral:lncRNA from 1 species
AUGGACACACACAGGUGCGUCCACGCAAUGGCCACGGAGAGCAGAGGAGACGCCCACCGAGGCAGGGUCUGGGCGGAUGAGCUUCGGUGGAGAUGGAGCCCGAGACGGAGCCCAAGAUGGAGACUGAGGUGGAGCCCGAGACGGAGCCCGAGAUGGAGCCCGAGAUGGAGACUGAGACGGAGCCCGAGAAGGAGCCCGAGAGGGAGCCCAAGAUGGAGACCGAGAUGGAGCCCGAGAAGGAGCCCCAGAUGGAGCCCGAGAUGGAGACUGAGACGGAGCCCGAGAUGGAGCCCGAGAGGGAGACUGAGACGGAGCCCGAGAGGGAGUCCGAGAUGGAGACUGAGGUGGAGCCCGAGAUGGAGACUGAGAUGGAGCCCGAGACGGAGCCCGAGAGGGAGCCCGAGAGGGAGCCCGAGAGGGAGCCUGAGACGGAGCCUGAGAGGGAGCCCGAGAUGGAGACUGAGACGGAGCCCGAGAUGGAGACUGAGACGGAGCCCGAGAGGGAGCCUGAGACGGAGCCCGAGAUGGAGCCCGAGAGGGAGACUGAGACGGAGCCCGAGAUGGAGCCCGAGAGGGAGCCUGAGAUGGAGCCCGAGAUGGAGACUGAGACGGAGCCCGAGAUGGAGACUGAGACGGAGCCCGAGAUGGAGCCCGAGAGGGAGACUGAGACGGAGCCCGAGAUGGAGACUGAGAUGGAGCCCGAAAGGGAGCCCGAGAUGGAGACUGAGAAGGAGCCCGAGAUGGAGCCCGAGAUGGAGCCUGAGAUGGAGCCCGAGAUGGAGACUGAGACGGAGCCCGAGAAGGAGCCUGAGAUGGAGCCCAAGAUGGAGACUGAGACGGAGCCCGAGGAGGAGCCCCAGACGGAGCCCGAGAAGGAGACUGAGACGGAGCCCGAGAGGGAGCCCGAGAUGGAGACUGAGAUGGAGCCCGAGAGGGAGCCCGAGAUGGAGCCUGAGACGGAGCCCGAGAUGGAGCCCGAGAGGGAGACCGAGAUGGAGCCCGAGAGGGAGACCGAGAUGGAGCCCGAGAGGGAGCCGGAGAGGGAGACUGAGACGGAGCCCGAGAGGGAGCCCGAGAUGGAGACUGAGACGGAGCCCGAGAGGGAGACCAAGACGAGCC